UUGAUUCUAAAAGCAAAGCAACAAUUAUAGAAAGAUCAAAUUGCAUAAAUAUUGAAAAUAACUAGAAGUUUAACAAUGGAGAUUUAAAUCUCCCAAUUCAUCACAAAUCUGAAUUUUCCAACUUCAACUAGAAAAUAAUGAAUUUAGCCACUCAUGGUGACUAAAAUACACAAAAAUAAAGAAGAAAAGAAAAAGAAAGUUUCUGCUGUGUUGCUGGAGAAUUUCCGAGGAUGGCAGAUGCUGAAAGAUGAUGAUAGGAUGCUGGUUUGGAUGUUGCCCUUAUAUAGCUGGAGAAUCCCAAUUCCAAUUUGAUUAGGGUUUUGGAAUCUCAAUUUGAUUUAGUCUUCUUUGUAGUCUUUGAUUCCUCUUUGGAUUUUGUAUUUGAUUGAGAAUGGAACUCUCUAAGUGAAGGGCGUGGCUCUUGGGACUGAUCUUGUGGUGUUUGAAGUGGACUUGGACUUCUUUUCUUUGAAUUUGGAUUUUCUGCUCUUUUCCCGCCUCUGCUGUCAACUUCUGCUGUCAAGGUGACUUGGGCAGUUUCUGCGAGUGACUUGGGCAAGUCACUUGCUCAAUCUGCCCCAAUCGCUCUCUGGGAUUCAGUCCAGUUUUUGCCUCUGACUCUGCGAAUGACUUGGCCAGUUCCUGCGAGUGAUUUGGGCAAAUCACUUUGACCCAAUCACUUUUCCAGCUUUUUCUUCACUUUUUCUCCAACUUUUCAAUUUCUUCCUUUUUUGUAAAAACAUAACAAAAACACAAAUUAAGCUAGAAAAAUGUGUAAAUAAAUAGUAAGAGAUAUGAUAAAAAUGUGGCUAAA
rnacentral:lncRNA from 1 species